UACGUAGGGCGCAAGCGUUAUCCGGAAUUAUUGGGCGUAAAGAGCUCGUAGGCGGUUUGUCGCGUCUGCCGUGAAAGUCCGGGGCUCAACUCCGGAUCUGCGGUGGGUACGGGCAGACUAGAGUGAUGUAGGGGAGACUGGAAUUCCUGGUGUAGCGGUGAAAUGCGCAGAUAUCAGGAGGAACACCGAUGGCGAAGGCGGAUCUCUGGGCCGUAACUGACGCUGAGGAGCGAAAGCAUGGGGAGCGAACAGG
rnacentral:rRNA from 1 species